GAUGAACGCUGACAGCAUGCUUAACACAUGCAAGUCAACUUGAACUUCGGUUUGGGUGGCGGACGGGUGAGUAACGCGUAACGAACUUGCCUCACAGCUAGGGACAACAUUUGGAAACGAGUGCUAAUACCUGAUAUUAUGAUUUUAGGGCAUCCUAGAAUUAUGAAAGCUAUAUGCGCUGUGAGAGAGCUUUGCGUCCCAUUAGCUAGUGGGAGAGGUAACGGCUCACGAAGGCUAUGAUAGGUAGCCGGCCUGGGAGGGUAAACGGCCAAAAGGGGACUGAGAGACGGCCCUUACUACUACGGGAGGAAGGAGUGGGGAAUAUCGGAGAACGGACCAAGAGUCUGAUAAAGCAAUUCUGUGUGAAAGAUGAAGUUUUUCGGAAUGUAAAGUGCUUUCAGUUGGGAAGAAAAAAAUGACGGUACCAACAGAAGAAGUGACGGCUAAAUACGUG
rnacentral:rRNA from 1 species